UACGUAGGUGGCAAGCGUUGUUCGGAAUUAUUGGGCGUAAAGAGCGUGUAGGCGGUCCGGUAAGUCAGCUGUGAAAGUCAAGGGCUCAACCCUUGAAAGCCGGUUGAUACUGUCGGGCUAGAGUCCGGAAGAGGCGAGUGGAAUUCCCGGUGUAGCGGUGAAAUGCGUAGAUAUCGAGAGGAACACCUGCGGCGAAGGCGGGUUGCUGGGCUGACACUGACGCUGAGGCGCGAAAGCUAGGGGAGCGAACGGG
rnacentral:rRNA from 1 species